ACAAUCCCACUGGCCUGAGCCAGCAGGUGGCACAGCUCAGGCUGGACCCAGCCAGCCUCAAGGAGGGAAGAGAGGGACAUCAUGGUGGCGCUGGACUCCCUGCAGGGGCUCUGCAGAGGCAGAAGAUGAACAGUAAGAUGCAAAGAUCUGGCAACCUUCAGAGCUGGCAUCUCACAGAGAAGAUACUUGGAUGGGCCACAGGCCAAAACUGGGCCAAAACCCUGGAGAGGGGGACCUGGCUCAAGGCCACACCACAUUUCCAUGUCAUUUUCCAGUGGCACCAACUGAGCUGGACAGAUGUUCUCACAGAGCUACACAUGCCACAGUCAUCACUAGUUGCGAGAGUCUCCAGUGUUCAUUAAGCCUAUUUUGCUGGAAGUUUAGUCCCUGGAGGAUUAGUCCCUGCCCUUAAGGAGUGCCAAAGAAGACUUUGGAAUCUAAGUCACAUCUCCCCUGCUGCAAUUUUUUCCUCUUGAUAAUCAAGGAAUCUCACUGAUAAAACUCUCAAUGAGGAGCAGCUCUCCCCAUGAGCAAGUUCUUGCCUUCAUUGCCAGGGAGGCCCCAGCUAAGGUUAUACUGGGAAAGGAAUCUCUGGGGAGUACCUGGAAGAGGUCAGCUUCUCCUCAAAGGAAGCCUCUCCAGCUGGUGUACUGCAAAGCCUUCCAAGACCAAGUUCCCUCUUCCUGGCCUCUGGAACCAGCCUGUGUGCCAGCGCUGUGUCCCCAGUAACACACAUGAGUCUCUCCCUCAGAAGCCACAGAAGGAUGCAGAGAGAGACCAACCCAGGAUUGAUUCUCAGCACUUACUAAUUGUGUGGACAUAACUGCUCUGGACCUCAGCUUUGCUAUCUAUAAAAUGAGCACCCUUUUUAUAGAUAUGAACACUUUAAGAGAGUCAUAAAGAUUGAAGUUGAUUUGUGCUGCGCCUGGCACAGAGGUCUCCCUCAGUAAAUGGCAGCCACUGCUAUUGGGGUGCCCCAACACCCCUUGCCCCUGCCCACCAUUAGCUUUCACUUAGGCCCACACUGAGGGUGUGGCUGUUGUGUUGGGGGAAGGAAAAAAACCAUGCCUGGGUUGCAGGGCCCCCACCACCAACUGGUCUGCUUUUGUGGGAAGCAUUUUCUGAUGCCCUCGCCCUACCCGUGGGCUGGUUGACUAAGUGUCCAGCAUCAUGAGGAAAAGAGCAGGGUUCAGGGACAGCUUGGCUCAGCCCUGAAACUCAUCUGGGCCUAGGUCCAGAUGAGAGGCAAGCCUGGGAGGCCUUCCGUUGUACCCUUGCCUAUCCUGCAGCACCCUCUAGCCUGCAGGCCGCUCCUGGGUGGCAUAGCACCUUGGAUGUCAGGUGUGGGCCUUCCCAGGCACAUGGCAUGAGGGGGCACUUCUGUGGGUUGUUGGGGGCAGGAAGGGAUGUGUCUCCAGCUGGACUUGGGCUCUCGCAUUUUGGGGCCCAGCCAUGCCAGGACAGCACACAUGGGCGCUUAGUGCGAAUCUCAUGAUGGAGCAGAGGAGGAGCAAAGCAAAACCAGGGAGUCCCCAGGCCCCUGCUUCUGCCCCGCCCAGAGACAGUGGAGCAGGUGUCUCCAGCUUCUUAACCUCAACGCACAGUAAGAAAUACAUUUUACAGCAACCAAUAGACACAUACAUUUACAAAACGAUACUCUGUAAUGCACUGGGCUGGUUUUCUCUCCUCACGCCCCUCUAGUGAGUCACAGAUGAGUCCCGCUAUAAGUAAUGUAAGCAAGCCACAGUCCCUGGCUGGCAAGUGAGGGAGUGCCCCACCAGGACAGGGACACUGAGGCAGCAAUGAAAACAGCCAAUGCAACCACUCCUUCCUUUUUCCCCCGCUCAGACCCUCAUGGGUGAGGAGAGAAGCUGCCAAGCCGAGGACUCCAUGAGAAAGAUGCCGGAGCUGCCCCACUCCGCAGCAGGCGCUUCCCCUGGAUUCUCACUAUCCUCACGACAGCCAUGAGCACCAGCAAUUAUCUGUUCCAUUUUGGAGAGGAGGCAAUGCAGGUUCAGAGGCUUUAAAAAGAUUUACUAUGUGCUUGCUGUGUGCCGGCAACGUUUAUAUGGUUUAUAUAAUGCUGAAUGGUUUAUAUAAUGCUCAGCGCUUACCUAUUCCCCAGAGCAGCCCUAGGGAGCAGGUACCGCUGCAUCUGCAUUGGCAGAGGAGACCGCGGCUCCCCCAACCCCCGGCUCAAGGUCUCACAGCUAGUUGCAGGCCUGCAUCUCUCAACCCAGAACACCUUUAAGGAGUCCCUCCUGCCCCAGGCAGAGUCCUAGGCUUCCCUGCAGAUCCAGGUAAACUUCAGGUAGGAGGAGGCCUGCCUGUAAGUGGGGAACAUCAAUGGGAAGGAGCAGAUUGAAAGCCAGAAGAGAAUAUGAAGAAAUGGCUGUGGCUGUGGGCUCACAGAAAGGGGGCAGCCCCCUUGCCCAGCUCUCCUCCAUAAUCCAGAGGCUAUUUUAAUUUAAUGAUGAUCAUAAAAGAAAUAUUGACGGUGUGGCUGAAUCAGGCUCUGCUGUGGCCUCCACGCAGGCAGCCUGCUCUGGACCCUGUGGUUCCCUGGCUGCUCCAGACCCCCUCGCUCCCCAAGGUCAGCUGCAGAUCAGAGCUUCCUGGGCACAGAGAGCCCUGCUCAGAAGGGACAUCUCCAUUCGCAGAGGUGAGACGGCCUGAGGGUUUCACGGUGGAAAGGAAAGCCCUGUCUUUGGAACCUGAUAUGGAUCUGGCUGCCAGGGUCCAGGGUCACCUGUGGGGAGGGGCAGCAGCCGCCCAGCUCUGCCAGAGACAGAGGGCAGGGCCAGACCUGGGGCUUCCCGCCCAGGAUGCCAUCAGCCAGUUGAAAUUCCAGCCCACGCCGGCACCCUGAGGGCUGUCGGGGAGGGGUGGGAUUUAUGACUUCCCCACCCCCCCGCAACACCCCAAAGGGAAAUGUGUUGAGCUGGUCAACAUCUCUCUGGUCACAGGGCCAGUGCUCCUGAGGCUCCUAAAUAAUGGGGCAGGAGCCAGGUCAUUAGGCAGGGGAGACUGUCAUUAGUGCGGGUGAUGCCACCACCGCUCAGACAAUGGCAAACAGUCAUUAGCGGCUGUGUCACAGGGAUGAGGCAAUGCUGGAUGGCUGGGGCGUGGCGCUUCCCCAGCCACACACUCACACACACACGCACAUGUUCACACACAGAGGAGGAAGUAGUCAUGCUCAAACACUCACUCCCACAAGGACAUCUAGAGACACACACAUCCACACGUGGGGGCAUGAGUGGGUGUGUCUGCACACUCACAUGCUCACAUGUCCACACACAUUCACAUGCAGGGUGUGAGGAGGCAUGUGCUCCCACGUGUUCACACAGUCACAUACAGGAGAACAAGCAGACAGCCGCAUUUGCACACUCACAUGUUCACACAGAGGAAUGAGUGAGCACAGGGUGCAGGGACACAUGUUCACACACAGUCACAACAAAUUCACACACACACACAGGCAUACUCGCAUGCUCACGUUUCCAGAUUCACACGCAGGGGCUGAGAGACACAUUGCCCAGAAAGGGCCACAGUGUCUGGGACACCCCCCACCCACACACACCACAGGGGCAGGGCCCUCGGAUCCUCCCCACACCAGGCACCCAGACACCCCCUACCCUGAGAUAGCCACACAGAACCUCAGGGGCCCCCCGAGGAGAGACCCAAAGACACCCCCUCAUCCCACCCCUCCCCCUGCAUCAAAUGAUGCAGCAGCCAGGAAGGAAAAACCCAGUGAAGCGUGGAGGCAGCCAGGCUGCGUGGACCUUGGCAGAGGCGGUGUCAGCUGUGCCGCCGCAGUGCUCUCCACACUCCCAGCUCUGACAGCCAGCACAGACCUGCCCCCAACAUGAACCCCCAAAAAAUGGGCUGCUGUAGGCGUGUUUCUCUGCUCGCCUCCCUGUGGGAGAGGGACAGGAAGCGGGAGGCUGGAGUUGGAGGAGCGGGGGAGUAGAGCAACUGAAACCCAGCCCCUGGCCCUGGCUUGAAUCUUCUCUCCCGUCCUCACCAGGCUUUCCCCCCGCCAAGCUAUGGAGCCGCCCUUCAGAAAACACAGGCAGGGAGUGGGACAAGAGGCAGAGAAAGUGGCAGGCACAGCCACGCCAGGCCAAGAGAGCAGGCUGGAAACCAGCCCUCCACUCUGGGUUCAACAUCUAGCUCCACCACUUAUCAGCUGGUAGUAUUAGCUUCCUGCGGCU
rnacentral:lncRNA from 1 species